UACGUAGGGUCCGAGCGUUGUCCGAAAUUAUUGGGCGUAAAGAGCGUGUAGGGCGGUUUGGUAGGUCCGUUGUGAAAACUCGAGGCUCAACCUCGAGACGCCGAUGGAAACCAUCAGACUAGAGUCCGGAAGAGGAGAGUGGAAUUCCUGGUGUAGCGGUGAAAUGCGCAGAGUAUCAGGAAGAACACCCGUGGCUAAGGCGGCUCUCUAGUACGGUACUGGACGCUGAGACGCGAAAGCGUGGGAGCGAA
rnacentral:rRNA from 1 species